GCUGCUGCAGAUUAAUGGGAGAUCCGCCCAGUUUAACUGGGUUAAUCACGGUUCAAUUCCGUGCGGCAGCA
rnacentral:tRNA from 1 species